GACGAACGCUGGCGGCGUGCUUAACACAUGCAAGUCGAACGGAAAGGCCCUGCUUUUGUGGGGUGCUCGAGUGGCGAACGGGUGAGUAACACGUGAGUAACCUGCCCUUGACUUUGGGAUAACUUCAGGAAACUGGGGCUAAUACCGGAUAGGAGCCCCUGCUGCAUGGUGGGGGUUGGAAAGUUUCGGCGGUUGGGGAUGGACUCGCGGCUUAUCAGCUUGUUGGUGGGGUAGUGGCUUACCAAGGCUUUGACGGGUAGCCGGCCUGAGAGGGUGACCGGCCACAUUGGGACUGCGGGACGGCGCAGUGUGCUACGGGAGACAGCAGUCGCGAAUAUGGUACAAUGGUCGCAAGUCUGAUGAAGAGACGCCGCGUUCGGGAUGACGGCCUUCGGGUUGUAAACCGCUUUCGCCUGAGACGAAGCGGGAGUGACGGUAAUGGGUAAAGAAGCACCGGCUAACUACGUG
rnacentral:rRNA from 1 species